GGCCCUCUAGUGGGGAGCAAUUGCAAUCAUGGGUGCGUACAAAGGAAGAGAAAGUGCACCAGGGAGUGGAAAUUCUUCAGACACUUGAGAAGGAGUUUUACCACCUUCAGAGCCUUUGUGAGAGAAAAUGUGAGCAUUUAAGCUACGAGGAAGCAUUGCAGGCUGUGGAGGAUCUCUGUCUUGAAGAAACUAAGAAAGGGGAAACUGAUACACAUGAUCGUAGCUGCUAUGAAUAUGCACUUAGAAGGA
rnacentral:misc_RNA from 1 species